AUGUGUAGGAUAGGUGGGAGGCUUUGAAGCGUGGACGCCAGUCUGCGUGGAGCCGACCUUGAAAUACCACCCUUUAAUGUUUGAUGUUCUAACGUGGACCCGUGAUCCGGGUUGCGGACAGUGUCUGGUGGGUAGUUUGACUGGGGCGGUCUCCUCCUAAAGAGUAACGGAGGAGCACGAAGGUUGGCUAAUCCUGGUCGGACAUCAGGAGGUUAGUGCAAUGGCAUAAGCCAGCUUGACUGCGAGCGUGACGGCGCGAGCAGGUGCGAAAGCAGGUCAUAGUGAUCCGGUGGUUCUGAAUGGAAGGGCCAUCGCUCAACGGAUAAAAGGUACUCCGGGGAUAACAGGCUGAUACCGCCCAAGAGUUCAUAUCGACGGCGGUGUUUGGCACCUCGAUGUCGGCUCAUCACAUCCUGGGGCUGAAGUAGGUCCCAAGGGUAUGGCUGUUCGCCAUUUAAAGUGGUACGCGAGCUGGGUUUAGAACGUCGUGAGACAGUUCGGUCCCUAUCUGCCGUGGGCGCUGGAGAACUGAGGGGGGCUGCUCCUAGUACGAGAGGACCGGAGUGGACGCAUCACUGGUGUUCGGGUUGUCAUGCCAAUGGCACUGCCCGGUAGCUAAAUGCGGAAGAGAUAAGUGCUGAAAGCAUCUAAGCACGAAACUUGCCCCGAGAUGAGUUCUCCCUGAGACUUUAGGUCUCCUGAAGGAACGUUGAAGACGACGACGUUGAUAGGCCGGGUGUGUAAGCGCAGCGAUGCGUUGAGCUAACCGGUACUAAUGAACCGUGAGGCUUAACCUUACAA
rnacentral:rRNA from 1 species